rnacentral:lncRNA from 1 species
GGAAGGGUUAUUUCCCAAGAUGAAAGGUUUGGAUGGUAGACUUUCUGAUCCAACUUCUGUUGGAUCCAGCCUUAAAGGAAGAAAGGCUAGAAGGUGUGACGGUUAGGCAAUAAAGUUCUUUGAGGAAGAUGGACAACAAGAGACAGGUUUGGCAUGCUGAAGGAGAGAUCACCCAAGGUAUCAUGGUCGAGAUGGGGCUGAAGAAGCAACUAUUUAGCCUUCGGAUGCAGGA